GACGAACGCUGGCGGCGUGCUUAACACAUGCAAGUCGAACGCUGAAGCUCAGCUUUUGUUGGGUGGAUGAGUGGCGAACGGGUGAGUAACACGUGAGUAACCUGCCUCCUUCUUUGGGAUAACGCCCGGAAACGGGUGCUAAUACUGGAUAUUCACUGGUCUUCGCAUGGGGGUUGGUGGAAAGGGUUUUUCUGGUGGGGGAUGGGCUCGCGGCCUAUCAGCUUGUUGGUGGGGUGAUGGCCUACCAAGGCUUUGACGGGUAGCCGGCCUGAGAGGGUGACCGGUCACAUUGGGACUGAGAUACGGCCCAGACUCCUACGGGAGGCAGCAGUGGGGAAUAUUGCACAAUGGGCGCAAGCCUGAUGCAGCGACGCCGCGCGAGGGAUGGAGGCCUUCGGGUUGUGAACCUCUUUCGCUCAUGGUCAAGCCGCAACAAUGGUUGUGGUGAGGGUAGUGGGUAAAGAAGCGCCGGCUAACUACGUG
rnacentral:rRNA from 1 species